UACGUAGGUGGCAAGCGUUAUCCGGAUUUACUGGGUGUAAAGGGCGUGUAGGCGGGGAAGCAAGUCAGAUGUGAAAACCACGGGCUCAACCUGUGGCCUGCAUUUGAAACUGUUUUUCUUGAGUGCUGGAGAGGCAAUCGGAAUCCCGUGUGUAGCGGUGAAAUGCGUAGAUAUACGGAGGAACACCAGUGGCGAAGGCGGAUUGCUGGACAGUAACUGACGCUGAGGCGCGAAAGCGUGGGGAGCAAACAGG
rnacentral:rRNA from 1 species